rnacentral:lncRNA from 1 species
CUAGAUCAAGUAGUUGAUCUUUUUUUCUACAGAUCUUUGGGAGCCGAACGUGUAAGCAGCCAGCUAGUUAAAGAGAGAUUGAACAAGCAUUUGUCAGUACUGGUUUAGGUCUGAAGCAAGGUCCAGCUCAGCUGUUUCCUAUAAGAAAUGUUAUGACAUCUGAACAAACGCUCUUAAAAAGGUGUAUCUCUGGAAGGACAGAAAAUUAAACAAAAGAACAGAAUACACUCUGGAUUUUCUUCCUAUGUACAGUCUACACUGAUUGAAGUGCUGAAUCCACUCAUAGGACCAGCUUACUGUAAAUACUCCAUUUCAAUAGACUGCCAAAAGAACUGCAAAAUACUUCAAAGACUUUAAUUUCAAAAAAUCAGUUGGAAAGCCAUUUCUUCCUCUUGAUUAAUAAGAAAACAAUUGG